rnacentral:rRNA from 1 species
UACGGGGGGGGCAAGCGUUGUUCGGAAUUACUGGGCGUAAAGGGCUCGUAGGCGGCCAACUAAGUCGGAUGUGAAAUCCCCAGGCUUAACCUGGGAAUUGCAUCCGAUACUGGAUGGCUUGAAUCCGGGAGAGGGAUGCGGAAUUCCAGGUGUAGCGGUGAAAUGCGUAGAUAUCUGGAGGAACACCGGUGGCGAAGGCGGCAUCCUGGACCGGUAUUGACGCUGAGGCGCGAAAGCUAGGGGAGCAAACAGG